rnacentral:sRNA from 1 species
AUUAUUGAGAUGUAUAUAUAUCUGAAUGUUCAUAUCUUGUGUCUUAUUGCAGGGUGAUAGCGGUGGCCCACUCUACACAUUGAGAGAAAACAGAUGGACUUUGACAGGUAUUGUCAGUUGGGGAUACGGCUGCGCUGAAGCUGGCAGACCAGGUGUCUACGCUGAUGUCAUUGAACUUAAAGACUGGAUUAACACCGUCAUCAACAGACUCUAAAAAAA